rnacentral:lncRNA from 1 species
CUCCAGGAAACCGGCACACAGGUGGGGACUCCGUGCCGCAGGAGGAGGAGCUUCGGCCCUCAGUGUGUGUUCUGCUGCGGAGAGUCCAAGACAGUGAUCCUCGUGAUCCAGGGGCCCUCGUCCAAUGGUGAUGAGGACCCAUGAUCCUUCCAGCUGCUGGCUCUGCCUCUCCAACCAGGGACUUCAGAGCAAUGCACGCACCUGCACCAGGCAGGCCAGGAGUCAACAGCAGGGAGGCAGUGAGAGGCUUUGCAGCGGCAUCACUCCCACUCAUGUUCCAUCACACCCUGGCUUGUGGCCUCACCUGAGUACAGGGGCUGCUGGAAAAUGUGCUCCAGCUGGGCCCAAGGAGGGGAAAGAGGCUUGUGAAUGGCCAGCCAGUCACCACCACCUCUGAGACUGAACAUAAUGUGGCAGGGGGACUCCACUCCGAGGGAUUUACCCAAAAGAAAUGCAGACAUUGCUGCAAAAGACACGUUCACAGAAUGUUCACAACAGCCUUAUUCCUAACCGCCCUCCAGCUGGAGGCAACCCAAACGUCCUCUACAGAUGAAUGGAGAAACAAAGGGUGGUGCAUGUGAACAAUGCAGCACUACUCGGCAACAACAACCAAAAAAAGGUAAAUCAAUGACUGAUAGCAGCGGCAGCAAGGAAAAACCUCGGAAACAUCACCCUGGGUGAAAGAAACCAGAAACAAAUGGGCACAUGCAUGUGAUCCCAUGACACGGCAUUCCAAAACCACCCUCAAGUGGCAGAAAGCAGAUUGCGGGUGCCUGAGGCCAGGGUGGGGAGGGGGUGGCCUGCAAAGCAGAGGGAGGAUGGAGAUGCCCCAGGUCCCCCUUGGGUGACAGUUACAUGGGUGUGUACAUUCAUCAAAGCUCAGCAAACUGUACACCUCAAGUGGGGGCAUUGUACUGGAGGUAAAUU